GAUGAACGCUGGCGGCGUGCCUAAUACAUGCAAGUCGAGCGAACAGAUAAGGAGCUUGCUCCUUUGACGUUAGCGGCGGACGGGUGAGUAACACGUGGAUAACCUACCUAUAAGACUGGGAUAACUUCGGGAAACCGGAGCUAAUACCGGAUAACAUAUUGAACCGCAUGGUUCAAUAUUGAAAGGCGGCUUUGCUGUCACUUAUAGAUGGAUCCGCGCCGUAUUAGCUAGUUGGUAAGGUAACGGCUUACCAAGGCAACGAUACGUAGCCGACCUGAGAGGGUGAUCGGCCACACUGGAACUGAGACACGGUCCAGACUCCUACGGGAGGCAGCAGUAGGGAAUCUUCCGCAAUGGGCGAAAGCCUGACGGAGCAACGCCGCGUGAGUGAUGAAGGUCUUCGGAUCGUAAAACUCUGUUAUCAGGGAAGAACAAAUGUGUAAGUAACUGUGCACAUCUUGACGGUACCUGAUCAGAAAGCCACGGCUAACUACGUG
rnacentral:rRNA from 1 species